rnacentral:rRNA from 1 species
UACGUAAGGGGCAAGCGUUAUCCGGAAUUACUGGGUGUAAAGGGUGAGUAGGCGGUUAAAUAAGCCAUAUGUGAAAGUCUGUAGCUCAACUAUAGAAUUGCAUAAGGAACUGUGUAACUAGAGUGCAGGAGAGGUAAGUGGAAUUCCUAGUGUAGCGGUGAAAUGCGUAGAUAUUAGGAGGAACACCAGUGGCGAAGGCGACUUACUGGACUGAAACUGACGCUGAGACACGAAAGCGUGGGGAGCAAACAGG